UUCCGGGUUGGAUCCCGCCGGAGGUCACUGCUAUUGGGAUUCGACUAAGCCAUGCGAGUCGUGAGGGUUCGGCCCUCGGCUGACGGCUCAGUAACACGUAGAUAAUUUGCCCUUAGGUGGAGGAUACCCUCGGGAAACUGAGAAUAAUACUCCAUAGAUCUAGAAUGCUGGAAUGCUUUUAGAUCGAAAGAUUUAUCGCCUAAGGAUAAGUCUGCGGACUAUCAGGUUGUAGUCAGGGUAAAGACCUGACUAGCCUACGACGGAUACGGGUAGUGAGAGCUUUAGCCCGGAGAUGAUAUCUGAGACACGAUAUCAGGCCCUACGGGGCGCAGCAGGCGCGAAAACUUCGCACUGUGCGAAAGCACGACGAGGGAAUCCCAAGUGCUGGCUCGUAAGAGUCAGCUGUUUCUCUGUCUAAAAAAUAGAGAGAGUAAGGGCUGGGUAAGACGGGUGCCAGCCGCCGCGGUAAUACCUGCAGCUCAAGUGGUGGCCGCUAUUAUUGGGCCUAAAACGUCCGUAGCCGGUUCUAUAAAUGCCUGGGUAAAUCGUACGGCUUAACCGUACGAAUUCCGGGUAGACUGUUCAACUUGGGACCGGGAGAGGCUAGAGGUACUCCUGGGGUAGAGGUGAAAUUCUGUAAUCCUAGGGGGACCACCAGUGGCGAAGGCGUCUAGCUAGAACGGGUCUGACGGUGAGGGACGAAGCCCUGGGGAGCAAACGGGAUUAGAUACCCCGGUAGUCCAGGGUGUAAACGCUGCUCGCUUGAUGUUAGUCGGGCUCCGAGCCCAACUAGUGUCGGAGAGAAGUUGUUAAGCGAGCUGCCUGGGGAGUACGGUCGCAAGACUGAAACUUAAAGGAAUUGGCGGGGGAGCACCGCAACGGGUGGAGCGUGCGGUUUAAUUGGAUUCAACGCCGGG
rnacentral:rRNA from 1 species